GUGGGGAAUUUUGGACAAUGGGCGCAAGCCUGAUCCAGCAAUGCCGCGUGCAGGAAGAAGGCCUUCGGGUUGUAAACUGCUUUUGUACGGAACGAAACGGUCCUGGUUAAUACCCGGGGCUAAUGACGGUACCGUAAGAAUAAGCACCGACUAACUACGUGCCAGCAGCCGCGGUAAUACGUAGGGUGCAAGCGUUAAUCGGAAUUACUGGGCGUAAAGCGUGCGCAGGCGGUGCUGUAAGACAGGCGUGAAAUCCCCGGGCGUAACCUGGAAAUUGCGCUUGUGACUGCAGUGCUGGAGUGCGGCAGAGGGGGAUGGAAUUCCGCGUGUAGCAGUGAAAUGCGUAGAUAUGCGGAGGAACACCGAUGGCGAAGGCAAUCCCCUGGGCCUGCACUGACGCUCAUGCACGAAAGCGUGGGGAGCAAACAGGAUUAGAUACCCUGGUAGUCC
rnacentral:rRNA from 1 species